rnacentral:rRNA from 1 species
GAUGAACGCUGGCGGCGUGCCUAAUACAUGCAAGUCGAGCGAACAGACGAGGAGCUUGCUCCUCUGACGUUAGCGGCGGACGGGUGAGUAACACGUGGAUAACCUACCUAUAAGACUGGGAUAACUUCGGGAAACCGGAGCUAAUACCGGAUAAUAUAUUGAACCGCAUGGUUCAAUAGUGAAAGACGGUUUUGCUGUCACUUAUAGAUGGAUCCGCGCCGCAUUAGCUAGUUGGUAAGGUAACGGCUUACCAAGGCGACGAUGCGUAGCCGACCUGAGAGGGGGAUCGGCCACACUGGAACUGAGCCACGGUCCAGACUCCUACGGGAGGCAGCAGUAGGGAAUCUUCCGCAAUGGGCGAAAGCCUGACGGAGCAACGCCGCGUGAGUGAUGACGGUCUUCGGAUCGUAAAACUCUGUUAUUAGGGAAGAACAAAUGUGUAAGUAACUAUGCACGUCUUGACGGUACCUAAUCAGAAAGCCACGGCUAACUACGUG